rfam:Lunatimonas lonarensis strain AK24 S14_contig_85, whole genome shotgun sequence.
CGACCUGUACGGGUUACAGGAUGAGAAGUCAGCAGAGGUCAUAGUAACUGGAGAAACGAGCAGGGACUGCCGAAACCAUAUCCCUGACGGUCUCACAAACCAGUGAAGGAC